GACGUAGGGCGCGAGCGUUGUCCGGAUUUAUUGGGCGUAAAGAGCUCGUAGGCGGCUUGUCGCGUCGACUGUGAAAUCCCGAGGCUCAACCUCGGACUUGCAGUGGGUACGGGCAGACUAGAGUGUGGUAGGGGAGACUGGAAUUCCUGGUGUAGCGGUGGAAUGCGCAGAUAUCAGGAGGAACACCGAUGGCGAAGGCAGCCCCC
rnacentral:rRNA from 1 species